ensembl:lncRNA
AUGAACGAAGAGUUCCAAGUCAAAGACAAUAGGGAGUGGUGGGGACUGGGGUCAUCUGAAGAUUUCAUGCCCCACCUGGAGGGAACGCUUUUACUCAGCUCCAGGCAAUUGUUGCCAUACAUGAACAAGGGCCUGCUGCUGCCAGGUUUUUCUUUUUUCUUUCUUUCUUUCUUUUUUUUUUUUUUCAAGAAAAUCUGGAAGUCUAGACUUUUGACAGCAUUUCCUGGCAAUGUGUGGGGUUUUUUUCUUUUCAACAUUGUGCAGGUUAAUGAGUUGCUAGGAGUUUCUGCCCUGUUCUCAGCCUUCUUUUGGGAGACCACAUGCUGGGCAGUUCUGUUCUCCUCUGGCUUUGCAGCUCCCAGCUGGACCCUGGGCCAUGUCAGAGGGGGAGGCCACUUGGAGUGUAGCAGGGUGUGGGCUAACCAUCUCCCUUUGGAUUCUAGGUUCCUGGGCCUCCAGGGCCAGAGGGGCCCCCCGGACCUCCGGGGCUCCAAGGUGUUCCUGGACCAAAGGUAAGAAGACGUCAUGUGACAGGUGUGGGGGGUGGGGGAAGGGGCAGUGUCAGGGCCAAAAAGGAAAGUCCUUUGGAGACAGGUGGCCCAUCUGGUCCCUUUCCCUAAAUGGAAUCAUGUGACACUGGCCAGUGGCUACAACCAAGAGAGAAUGAAGUCCUUUUAACACCCACCAUUGACUGUAGGCAGUCUUCAGAUUUAGUGCUGUCCCGUCCAUUAAUCCACCCCACUAGCGAUGGAUUGGAUUCUUAGCAAACGACGAAAUCCUUUUCCAAGUAACCUGCCCCAGACAUUUCACUCACCCUGAAGUAGAGGUGGAGAGAGAGAGGGGUGUACUGUGGGCCCCCUCCCCAGGUCCAGGCCCAUCAGUCUCUGGCCUGGGGAGGGGGUCUUCCAAUCUCCCUCCUCAAAAACAUUUCAACUGGAUAAGAGGGGCUGGGAGCUGACGGCAUAUUGGCCCGUGCUCCUCACCCCACUAUUCUUCAGGAGACAGUUGGGCAAUUUUUUGCCCCAAUUAGUUCGGGAGCCUCAGAGCUCCCAUGUUGGCAUUUCAGGCACCUGCCAGCCAAUCUCUGCAGGGCCCCAGUUUUCCUGCUCUGCAAAUGGUCACUUAUGCCCAAGCCUGACCUGGAACUGCCCUUUGGGUCUGUCUCCGCUCCACCCAUCCCCUUUUCCUUUGGGGAGCUCACAGUUACUACAGGGAUACCAAGGACUCUAAUGGAAGUAGAGCCAGGCUAGGAAUUUAAGAAUUCUUGGAGCGUCCAGCCUGCCAUCCGUGGGCCAGCCCCCUCCGCCCCCUCCCUCCUCCAGCCUCUACAUGUUCUGGUCUCCCCAGCCCACCCCUAUCUCCAGGACCCCAGGAUGCAAGAACGAGUUGUCUGAGACAUGCCCUUCGGUGAUCUCCCCCCUCCCUUUCCUUCAGGGGGAAGCAGGACUAGAUGGAGCAAAAGGAGAGAAGGGUGUCCAGGGAGAGAAAGGAGAUCGAGGGCCGCUGGGAUUACCCGUAAGUAUCUCAGAGCCAGCGAGCCUGUGAGGAGCCCAGCCGGGUGGUCCUGAGGAGGCUGGGGUGGCGGUGCAGGACCCCGGGAGAAGGCUGCUGCAAAACUGGGGGUCCUAACAUUCUGAGCAUUCCAGAACACUUCGUGUAGUUUUGCUUUCCCACCUGGGCAAGACCGUAGACUCUAAUUCCCUUCCUGAGGGCUUCCUCUGGGCCAGGUCCUGGGCUGGUCAUGGGGGGAAUGCAGAGCUAAAUAAGACAGGGCCCCCCCACCCAAGGAGCCCCCAGCUGGAGAGCCGCAAGUGGCCUGAGGACAGCCUCAGGCCCUACAUGUGCCUGAUUCAGAGGCAAUAAAAAUCCGCCCUUAAUGGGAACUCA